rnacentral:rRNA from 1 species
UACGAAGGGGGCUAGCGUUGCUCGGAAUCACUGGGCGUCAAGCGCACGUAGGCGGAUCUUUAAGUCAGGGGUGAAAUCCUGGAGCUCAACUCCAGAACUGCCUUUGAUACUGGGGAUCUCGAGUCCGGGAGAGGUGAGUGGAACUGCGAGUGUAGAGGUGAAAUUCGUAGAUAUUCGCAAGAACACCAGUGGCGAAGGCGGCUCACUGGCCCGGUACUGACGCUGAGGUGCGAAAGCGUGGGGAGCAAACAGG